GACGAACGCUGGCGGCGUGCCUAAUACAUGCAAGUAGAACGCACAGUUUAUACCGUAGCUUGCUACACCAUAGACUGUGAGUUGCGAACGGGUGAGUAACGCGUAGGUAACCUGCCUGGUAGCGGGGGAUAACUAUUGGCAACGAUAGCUAAUACCGCAUAAUAUUAAUUAUUGCAUGAUAAUUAAUUGAAAGGUGCAAUUGCACCACUACCAGAUGGACCUGCGUUGUAUUAGCUAGUAGGUGAGGUAACGGCUCACCUAGGCGACGAUACAUAGCCGACCUGAGAGGGUGAUCGGCCAAACUGGGACUGAGACACGGCCCAGACUCCUACGGGAGGCAGCAGUAGGGAAUCUUCGGCAAUGGACGAAAGUCUGACCGAGCAACGCCGCGUGAGUGAAGAAGGGUUUCGGAUCGUAAAGCUCUGUUGUAAGAGAAGAACGGGUGUGAGAGUGGAAAGUUCACACUGUGACGGUAUCUUACCAGAAAGGGACGGCUAACUACGUG
rnacentral:rRNA from 1 species